UGGGGAAUAUUGCACAAUGGAGGGAACUCUGAUGCAGCGACGCCGCGUGAGUGAUGAAGGAAUUCGUUUCGUAAAACUCUGUUCUAUGGGAAGAAAAGGACUGUACCAUAGGAGAAAGCUCCGGCUAAAUACGUGCCAGCAGCCGCGGUAAUACGUAUGGAGCGAGCGUUGUCCGGAAUUAUUGGGCGUAAAGGGUGCGCAGGCGGCUUUACAAGUUGGAUGUGAAAUAUUGUGGCUCAACCACAAACGUGCAUCCAAAACUGCAAAGCUUGGUUUAAGGAGGGGUAGGGGGAUUUCCUGGUGAGGCGGUGAAAUCCGUGAAAAACAGAAGGAAUACGGGUGGGGAAGCCGACUUACUGACUUAAACUGACGCUCAGGCACGAAAGCGUGGGGAGCAAACAGG
rnacentral:rRNA from 1 species